GGGGGUUACUUGGGCGCCGCGCGCUACAUGUAGAAACAAAAAGGUUCCUGGUCCGGAAGGAUUGGGUAAUCAUUUGAAUUUUCUACGUAACUGGGAUUGAUCUUUGUAAUUAUUGAUCAUCAACGAGGAAUUCCUUGUAAGCGUAGGUCAUUACCCUAUGCUGAAUAUGUCCCUGCCCUUUGUACACACCGCCCGUCGCUCCUACCGAUCGAAUGAUACGGUAAAGUUAACGGAUCGUUUUAUCUUUGGCAACAUUGAUAUAAACUAAAAGUUAUUUAAAUCUCAUUGUUUAGAGGAAGGAGAAGUCGUAACAAGGUAUCCGUAGGUGACCCUGCGGAA
rnacentral:rRNA from 1 species